rnacentral:rRNA from 1 species
UCGGGAAUUUUGGGCAAUGGGCGAAAGCCUGACCCAGCAACGCCGCGUGAAGGAUGAAGUAUUUCGGUAUGUAAACUUCGAAAGAAUAGGAAGAAUAAAUGACGGUACUAUUUAUAAGGUCCGGCUAACUACGUGCCAGCAGCCGCGGUAAUACGUAGGGACCAAGCGUUGUUCGGAUUUACUGGGCGUAAAGGGCGCGUAGGCGGCAAUUCAAGUCAUCUGUGAAAUCUCCGGGCUUAACUCGGAACGGUCAGAUGAUACUGCUUUGCUAGAGUGCAGAAGGGGCAAUCGGAAUUCUUGGUGUAGCGGUGAAAUGCGUAGAUAUCAAGAGGAACACCUGAGGUGAAGACGGGUUGCUGGGCUGUAACUGACGCUGAGGCGCGAGAGCAAGGGGAGCAAACAGGAUUAGAUACCCCUGUAGUCCCUGAGCGGGCUGGCAAGGCGCAU